rnacentral:rRNA from 1 species
GUAGGUGGCAAGCGUUGUCCGGAAUUAUUGGGCGUAAAGCGCGCGCAGGCGGUUCUUUAAGUCUGAUGUGAAAGCCCACGGCUCAACCGUGGAGGGUCAUUGGAAACUGGAGAACUUGAGUACAGAAGAGGAAAGCGGAAUUCCACGUGUAGCGGUGAAAUGCGUAGAGAUGUGGAGGAACACCAGUGGCGAAGGCGGCUUUCUGGUCUGUAACUGACGCUGAGGCGCGACAGCGUGGGGAGCAAACAGGAUUAGAUACCCUGGUAGUCCACGCCGUAAACGAUGAGUGCUAAGUGUUAGGGGGUUUCCGCCCCCCUUAGUGCUGCAGCUAACGCAUUAAGCACUCCGCCUGGGAGUACGGCCGCAAGGCUG